CCCGCAGGUGUCUGCCGAGUUUGGGGCUUGUGGCUUUAAAGCCCUAGGAGGAGUAGCGUUCAGAAUUUUUUUCUCAGAAGAAUAAUAAUAACUAGAAUUAAAAGUUAGUGAACUAACUUUGAUGUUGGCUUGGCCAUCUUGGCCAUGGAGCAAAAGAGCCAAAGUACUUGUGUGCCCAACAUUGAGUUGCCCCGCUGCAAAAUUAAUACAAAUAAUAAUGCCAUAAAAAAAUACACCUGCAACAGUCUUUUUCCAUGCUCCCUUGCUGUUUUCUUUUUUUAAUAAAAAGCCUGGGCUAUGAUAACAGCUAUGACAGGGUUGUCUAGCUGGAUGUGAAAUAAGUCAUGCCUAUUUUUCUCGUGUAUGUAUUUCACAGUCCUGCCACCGUCACGUUGUGGGCAACGACACACAAGAUAACUGAAACAAUGCAUUUUAAAUCAAGGAGAUCAUAAGGGGUCCAAGCACAAUGGUUUGUAUAGAUGAUGCAGUUACACACUGUUUAAAAUUGUUUAAUUUGUACUGUAUGUUCAUUCUAUUUAUUUAUUUGUGCUAUUUACAUAAUGUUUACAUUUUUUUAAGUUUGUUUAUGUUAAUUUAAAAUAGCACUGCAUAGUCUUCACUGUAAGAUAAAAUACACAAUCAAACCAAAAUGUAUUCAGACACCUUCAACAUUUCUCACAUAAUCACAGUUUAUUUGCUGUAGUUUAGAAACUGGUAAUAAUAUAUGACAAUAACUCAGAACAAAUUCAUAUUGAUAAUUUCGGAUAACUUUGAUAAAAAGAUAUGUAAUGGAAUCAACCAAAACUUCAGACAGCUGUCAGUAUGACAAUAUUUACACAACUAUCAAUACUUUGUUGAACAGUUACCAAGCAAGAAAUGCUUAAUUUGGUUCAGUCUGUGGUGUGAAAAGGUUGCAUUAACAAUUAAAGAAAGAAACACUUAAGCAAAACAUGGGCAGGUCCUUAAUUAUUAUUUUUUUAAAUCAAUUUCACUGGUAGCCUACUGUAUGAAGAAUUAGUGGGUAUAAUAUUUCACAGAUCACUAUUUUGCCAUACUCACUUACAUAAAUGAACUAGUGGCCUGCACCCACUAGUAAAACAAUUCUAUCUUAUUUUUGGAUUGACUUUGGAUAAAUUCUUGUACUACAAGGUAAUUCAGUCAAGAGCAGUGAGUGAUUUACUUUCAUUUUCAUACAUUAAAGACUCUGACAGCAGAGCUAGUAAAUUAGGCGCGGUCCCUUUAAGAGACAAACGCAUCCAUUAUGAUGAUACACAUCCGAUUUUUUUUUUGCAAAUCUUUACUUUCACUUAAGACAUAACCACAUACUUAUUCGAACACACCUUCCAACACGGGUAUUUCGACAUAUUUUGUAUGUAUUUGUUGUCGGUACAAAAGCAAGAAGACUUUGAGACGCGUCUCUGCUUGCUCCCUGAACAACACCGCGCUGCUGAAUUGAGCUCUUUUGCUUUUCGCUCUUUUUUCUGUUUAUUUAAACUGCGAUUUGAAUUUGUUCGUUCAGGUCCAGGAGGAAGUGAACGUCCUGAACGACAGCUCUGUUCAGUGUUGCUGUCCCUGUCCGCGAUACGCGCGGCUCUCUCUCGUGCACACGCGCCAUCAGCUGCUCAGUUCAGUUUCCCGCAGCGCGGGGCUGAAGCCAACUUGAUGUGUUGAAUGCUCGGAGCACGUUAUAAAACGUAUUCUUAAAAUACACAUUUCUGUUUUAAUAAAUGGUCAUAUUAAAUCAUAGCAUAACACAUAAGUAGGUACAAAAAUAAUCAGUGAUGCAUGCGACCCUUUUGGUCUCAGUGUAGCUCCCUGCUUUACCAUGUUAUGCAAC